UUCAGUGAGACAGGGUCUAGGUCUGCUGGUUCAGUGAGACAGGGUCUAGGUCUGCUGGUUCAGUGAGACAGGGUCUAGGUCUGCUGGUUCAGUGAGACAGGGUCUAGGUCUGCUGGUUCAGUGAGACAGGGUCUAGGUCUGCUGGUUCAGUGAGACAGGGUCUAGGUCUGCUGGUUCAGUGAGACAGGGUCUUGGUCUGCUGGUUCAGUGAGACAGGGUCUAGGUCUGCUGGUUCAGUGAGACAGGGUCUUGGUCUGCUGAUUCAGUGAGACAGGGUCUAGGUCUGCUGGUUCAGUGAGACAGGGUCUAGGUCUGCUGGUUCAGUGAGACAGGGUCUUGGUCUGCUGGUUCAGUGAGACAGGGUCUAGGUCUGCUGGUUCAGUGAGACAGGGUCUAGGUCUGCUGGUUCAGUGAGACAGGGUCUAGGUCUGCUGGUUCAGUGAGACAGGGUCUAGGUCUGCUGGUUCAGUGAGACAGGGUCUAGGUCUGCUGGUUCAGUGAGACAGGGUCUAGGUCUGCUGGUUCAGUGAGACAGGGUCUAGGUCUGCUGGUUCAGUGAGACAGGGUCUAGGUCUGCUGAUUCAGUGAGACAGGGUCUAGGUCUGCUGGUUCAGUGAGACAGGGUCUAGGUCUGCUGGUUCAGUGAGACAGGGUCUAGGUCUGCUGGUUCAGUGAGACAGGGUCUAGGUCUGCUGGUUCAGUGUGACAGGGUCUAGGUCUGCUGGUUCAGUGUGACAGGGUCUAGGUCUGCUGAUUCAGUGAGACAGGGUCUAGGUCUGCUGGUUCAGUGAGACAGGGUCUAGGUCUGCUGGUUCAGUGAGACAGGGUCUAGGUCUGCUGGUUCAGUGAGACAGGGUCUAGGUCUGCUGGUUCAGUGAGACAGGGUCUAGGUCUGCUGGUUCAGUGAGACAGGGUCUAGGUCUGCUGAUUCAGUGAGACAGGGUCUAGGUCUGCUGGUUCAGUGAGACAGGGUCUAGGUCUGCUGGUUCAGUGAGACAGGGUCUAGGUCUGCUGGUUCAGUGAGACAGGGUCUUGGUCUGCUGGUUCAGUGAGACAGGUCUAGGUCUGCUGAUUCAGUGAGACAGGGUCUAGGUCUGCUGGUUCAGUGAGACAGGGUCUAGGUCUGCUGGUUCAGUGAGACAGGGUCUUGGUCUGCUGGUUCAGUGUGACAGGGUCUAGGUCUGCUGGUUCAGUGAGACAGGGUCUAGGUCUGCUGGUUCAGUGAGACAGGGUCUAGGUCUGCUGGUUCAGUGAGACAGGGUCUAGGUCUGCUGGUUCAGUGAGACAGGGUCUAGGUCUGCUGGUUCAGUGAGACAGGGUCUAGGUCUGCUGGUUCAGUGAGACAGGGUCUAGGUCUGCUGGUUCAGUGAGACAGGGUCUAGGUCUGCUGAUUCAGUGAGACAGGGUCUAGGUCUGCUGGUUCAGUGAGACAGGGUCUAGGUCUGCUGGUUCAGUGAGACAGGGUCUAGGUCUGCUGGUUCAGUGAGACAGGGUCUAGGUCUGCUGGUUCAGUGUGACAGGGUCUAGGUCUGCUGGUUCAGUGUGACAGGGUCUAGGUCUGCUGAUUCAGUGAGACAGGGUCUAGGUCUGCUGGUUCAGUGAGACAGGGUCUAGGUCUGCUGGUUCAGUGUGACAGGGUCUAGGUCUGCUGGUUCAGUGAGACAGGGUCUAGGUCUGCUGAUUCAGUGAGACAGGGUCUAGGUCUGCUGGUUCAGUGAGACAGGGUCUAGGUCUGCUGGUUCAGUACCACUACGUCUUGGCUGGUUCAGUGUGACAGGGUCUAGGUCUGCUGGUUCAGUACCACUACGUCUUGGCUGGUUCAGUGUGACAGGGUCUAGGUCUGCUGGUUCAGUGAGACAGGGUCUAGGUCUGCUGGUUCAGUGAGACAGGUCUAGGUCUGCUGGUUCAGUGAGACAGGGUCUAGGUCUGCUGGUUCAGUGAGACAGGUCUAGGUCUGCUGGUUCAGUGAGACAGGGUCUAGGUCUGCUGGUUCAGUGAGACAGGGUCUAGGUCUGCUGGUUCAGUGAGACAGGGUCUAGGUCUGCUGGUUCAGUGAGACAGGGUCUAGGUCUGCUGG